ACGGAAGGCAGCAGUGAGGAAUAUUGGUCAAUGGGCGGAAGCCUGAACCAGCCAAGUCGCGUGAAGGAUGAAGGUAUUAUGUAUUGUAAACUUCUUUAGCCAGGGGGCAAUAAGGCGUAUGUAUACGCCGAUGAGAGUACCUGGAGAAUAAGGAUCGGCUAACUCCGUGCCAGCAGCCGCGGUAAUACGGAGGAUCCGAGCGUUAUCCGGAUUUAUUGGGUUUAAAGGGUGCGCAGGCGGCUUUUUAAGUCAGUGGUUAAAUCGUGACGCUCAACGUCAUCACGCCAUUGAUACUGGAGAGCUUGAUUGCGGUCGAGGUUUGCGGAAUUCGUCGUGUAGCGGUGAAAUGCAUAGAUAUGACGAAGAACACCGAUUGCGUAGGCAGCAGACCAGGCCGUAAAUGACGCUCAUGCACGAAAGCGUGGGGAUCGAACAGGAUUAGAUACCCUGGUA
rnacentral:rRNA from 1 species